UUUUAGCACAGAUGGGAACGGCAUUCUUUUACUGGCUUCUUUAGCCAGGAAAAGAUAUAAUGGACAGCUGGAAAUAGC
rnacentral:sRNA from 1 species